CGGAUCGGGCACGUCCCGGCAAACCCGAUCCGACCAAGGGCCCCCGCGCAAGCUGGGGCCCUUUUCUUUU
rnacentral:sRNA from 1 species